rnacentral:tRNA from 1 species
GCGGGCGUAGCUUAAUGGUAAAGCUCUAGCCUUCCAAGCUAGUUAUGCGGGUUCGAUUCCCGCCGCCCGCUCCA